AAGAGGAACACUGAAUUAAACUUGUGGUUGCGGCUGCUGCCCAGAUGUUAAGCCGAUGUGAAAUUUAGUGGCUUCAAGCUGGCCCUUUGGAAAUGCACAGUACAUAAAGUGUACUGUCACCUCAGAAGGACAUGGGUGUGCCAGUACUCUAUGCUGUGGGGGUCCUUGAUCAGAUCUUUGCCCACACCACUUUAACCCUCUUACCGGGGGUUGUGGAGAAAUCAUAAAAAAAUUCUGCUGUUACUGACUAUU